CACACCGCCCGUCACACCAUGGGAGUUGGCUUUACCUGAAGACGGUGCGCUAACCGCAAGGAGGCAGCUGGCCACGGUAGGGUCAGCGACUGGGGUG
rnacentral:rRNA from 1 species